GACGAACGCUGGCGGCGUGCUUAACACAUGCAAGUCGAACGGAAAGGCCCUGCUUUUGUGGGGUGCUCGAGUGGCGAACGGGUGAGUAACACGUGAGUAACCUGCCCUUGACUUUGGGAUAACUUCAGGAAACUGGGGCUAAUACCGGAUAGGAGCUCCUGCUGCAUGGUGGGGGUUGGAAAGUUUCGGCGGUUGGGGAUGGACUCGCGGCUUAUCAGCUUGUUGGUGGGGUAGUGGCUUACCAAGGCUUUGACGGGUAGCCGGCCUGAGAGGGUGACCGGCGACAUUGGGACUGAGAUACGGCCCAGACUCGUACGGGAGGCAGCAGUGGGGAAUAUUGCACAAUGGGCGGAAGCCUGAGGCAGCAACGCCGCGUGCGGGAUGACGGCCUUCGGGUGGUAAACAGAUGUCGCAUGUGACGAAGCGUGAGUGACGGUAAUGGGUAAAGAAGCACCGGCUAACUACGUG
rnacentral:rRNA from 1 species